rfam:Desulfamplus magnetovallimortis isolate PRJEB14757 genome assembly, scaffold: MTBBW1_scaffold1
UGCGGGGUGGAGCAGUCUGGUAGCUCGUCGGGCUCAUAACCCGAAGGUCAGAGGUUCGAAUCCUCUCCCCGCUA